AUUGAACGCUGGCGGCAGGCCUAACACAUGCAAGUCGAGCGAGCGGCGGACGGGUGAGUAAUGUAUGGGGACUGCCCGAUAGAGGGGGAUAACUACUGGAAACGGUAGCUAAUACCGCAUACUAUCGGAUAACCCAUAUGGGAUUAGCUAGUUGGUGAGGUAAUGGCUCACCAAGGCGACGAUCCCUAGCUGGGCUGAGAGGAUGAUCAGCGACACUGGGACUGAGACAAGGCACAGACUCCUACGGAGGCAGCAGGGGGGAAUGUUGCGCAAGGGGCGAAAGCCUGAUGCAGCCAUGCCGCGUGUGUGAAGAAGGCCAUAGGGUUGUAAAGUACGUUCAGUCGGGAGGCGGUACCGGCAGAAGAAGCACCGGCUAACUCCGUGCCAGCAGCCGCGGUAAUAC
rnacentral:rRNA from 1 species